rnacentral:rRNA from 1 species
AUGGUAGAUGCUUGCUUCCUGGAAGCGGGCGAAGAUACUCGCCAGAUGGAGGCGGAGCUUGCCAGGGCCGUCCUGGUCACGGUCACCGGCACAAGGCCGCAGGUGGACUUAGCUUCGGCUGCUGUGGCGCUGCAUGAGACGUUCGGCAUCGGCCCUGAAGACAUGUCCAUUCGGGCCUUCUUCCCCGAGGACUUUCUCGUGCUCUGCCGUGAGGGUGCGGUCCGGGACCGGAUGGUGCGGGAAGGCCGUGCUCUCUCCCCUUGGUUUGAACUCUCGCUCCGGCCAUGGAUCAGGCAGGCGCAAGCCACAGCGGCCCCUCUACCCUACCUUGUUCCGGUCUCGCUGCGGGGUGUGCCGGCUCAUGCCUGGUGUCAGCACACGGCGAGUGUGAUUCUGCGUGGGCUUGGUUACGUCGUUGGAGUGGAUGACAGUACGGCUCGCCGGCUGGACAUGGCGGACUUUCGCGUCUGGCUGCGCACGGACAGGCCGUGGCUAAUCCCACGCCGCCGCCUCCUAUUUAUUGACGAGCCGAGGCGCACUCUCUGGUCGGAGGAGGCUGGUCGAGGUACGCCAAUGGGUGGAAGAUCGAGCGCUCUCUGGUAUCCCAUUGAGAUUUCCGUCUUGGGAGAUCCUCUGGAAGAUGGUGAUUCUGGUGGGCGGCAACCACCGCCACCGCCGCCGCCUUCGCCGCCGUCCGGCGAUGAUGAUCCCUUGCGCAAGCAGUCGUGUGGGGGGCCCCAGGGCAAUGGUGGGCGCGGUGCUUCGGGCUCGGGCUCUGAUGGAAACGGUGAUGACUCGCCGGGUUCGGUGGGCUCGUCCACGGCGGUGCAGGCGGCGCCGCCAGCAGGAAGAUGCAGGCGGAUUCAAACUGCUAUGACCCCGGUCGUGGAGGAGGACAGUGGUACCCGCGUGGCUACCGUCACUGGCACCCUUUCGGAUACUGCUGGGGGCCCGGGCUUGUCUCCCUUGGCAGGACGGCCAAUCGCAAGACCGGCAAAUGAUUCACCUGUGGGCCCGGAUGUCGUGGCUGCGCAGGGUGUGGUUGAUGGGGCCUUGGGCCCAGGGGGGCAGGCAGUGAGCGCUACGCCCAUUGGCUCCCCACCCUCGGUGCAGCUGGCGCGAUGGCGACAAAACGGGAGGCCCGAGGGAGUGUGCGCUUCGGAUCCGCUGCCCCCGGGCGCGGCAGUCCAAGUUGGGACAUUUCGGGUAAUCCUGCAGCAGGCCCAGUCGCUUUCGGUGGAAUAG